UACGUAGGGGGCAAGCGUUGUCCGGAUUUAUUGGGCGUAAAGAGCGUGUAGGCGGCCAGGUAGGUCUGCUGUGAAAACUCGAGGCUUAACCUCGAGCUGUCGGCGGAAACCAUCCGGCUAGAGUCCGGAAGAGGAGAAUGGAAUUCCCGGUGUAGCGGUGAAAUGCGCAGAUAUCGGGAGGAACACCAAUGGCGAAGGCAGCUCGCUGGGACGUUACUGACGCUGAGACGCGAAAGCGUGGGGAGCAAACAGG
rnacentral:rRNA from 1 species